GCCUUCGUGGCGUAAUGGUUAGCAUGCUCGGCUUGUAUUCGAGAGGGCCGUGGUUCGAGUCCUGGCAAAGGCG
rnacentral:tRNA from 1 species